UACGUAGGGUGCGAGCGUUAAUCGGAAUUACUGGGCGUAAAGCGUGCGCAGGCGGCGCGUUAAGACAGGUGUGAAAGCCCCCGAGCUUAACUUGGGAAUUGCGCUUGUGACUGGCGUGCUGGAGUGUGGCAGAGGGAGGUGGAAUUCCACGUGUAGCAGUGAAAUGCGUAGAGAUGUGGAGGAACACCGAUGGCGAAGGGCAGCCCUCCUGGGCCAAUACUGACGCUCAUGCACGAAAGCGUGGG
rnacentral:rRNA from 1 species